CAGAGAAUAGUUUAAUAAGAAUACUGGCUUUGGGAGUCAGUGGCGUGAGUUAGAAUCUUUCUUCUCUGG
rnacentral:tRNA from 1 species